AUUGAACGCUGGCGGCAUGCUUUACACAUGCAAGUCGAACGGUAACAGGCCGCAAGGUGCUGACGAGUGGCGAACGGGUGAGUAAUGCAUCGGAACGUGCCCAGUCGUGGGGGAUAACGCAGCGAAAGCUGCGCUAAUACCGCAUACGAUCUAUGGAUGAAAGCGGGGGACCGUAAGGCCUCGCGCGAUUGGAGCGGCCGAUGUCAGAUUAGGUAGUUGGUGGGGUAAAAGGGCUCACCAAGCCAACGAUCUGUAGCUGGUCUGAGAGGACGACCAGCCACACUGGGACUGAGACACGGCCCAGACUCCUACGGAGGCAGCAGUGGGGAAUAUUGGACAAUGGGGGGCAACCCUGAUCCAGCAAUGCCGCGUGAGUGAUGAAGGCCUUAGGGUUGUAAAGCUACUUUG
rnacentral:rRNA from 1 species